rnacentral:rRNA from 1 species
UACGUAGGGUGCAAGCGUUGUCCGGAAUUAUUGGGCGUAAAGAGCUCGUAGGCGGUCUGUCGCGUCUGCUGUGAAAACUCAGGGCUUAACCCUGAGCUUGCAGUGGGUACGGGCAGACUAGAGUGCGGUAGGGGAGACUGGAAUUCCUGGUGUAGCGGUGAAAUGCGCAGAUAUCAGGAGGAACACCGGUGGCGAAGGCAGCUCGCUGGGACGGUACUGACGCUGAGGCGCGAAAGCGUGGGGAGCAAACAGG